AUGUCACUGUCAUUACCGUUUUCGAUGAGAUUUUGCUGAACAAGUUGUGUAACAACUUGGUACAAAAAUUAAGCUUUCUUAAACUUUAGCAAUGCUGUCUUACAAAUAUUACGAUACGCCUGAGGGCCACGACAUUUUUAAAAAAGUAUUUGUGACAUCAAAAUAUGCAGGGAUUGCUGGGUUAGGAGUGGCGACUUUCGAUGUUCUCAUGUACUCUCAUCCUAAAGGGCUUUUCAACACAGCCUACAGAUAUGCAUUUUUUAUGGGUCCUAUGGUGGGAAUGGCCGCUGCUUUCACGGUAACCGCAAACACGGCACAGAAUAUAAGAGAAAAGAACGAUAUUUGGAAUUAUUUUCUCGGUGGCGUUGUGGCUGGCUCCGUAUUUGGUGCUUGGAGAAAGUCAGUGACAGUGGCAGUUCCAAUGUGCCUUGCUCUUGGAGCCAUUGGUAUGAUAAAGAAGACAGCUAUUGAUGAAAACUGGACAUUAGUCCCAGAGAUAACUUCAUCCCCUAAAUCUAUUAGAUCCGUUCGUCAUGACUGGACUCUUGUGAAAGAUGUUGAUGAACUGAAAACCUGGACAACUGGUUCCAACUAAUCUCCCUUGCAAGCAGUACUAGUAUGAAUAGCCUGUAAAUACAAUCAACAUUUUUAUUUAAUUAAUAUGGAAAUAUAAUUCAUAAGUGAGGAAACCUGCAUGUGUCUUAAUUUCAUUGAAAUUCUGCCACAUGUGUAUUCUACCAACCCGCAUUGGAGCAGCGUGGUGGAAUAACCUCCAAACCUUCUCUUCAAAAAGAAGAGGAGGCCUUAGCCCAGCAGUGGGAUAUUCACAGGCUGUUACUGUAGUAAAUAAAUAUUAGGUUUUAAUGUAAACAGGAUGCAUUAAACUUUAUUUUAAAUAAACUGUUUAUACAA